UCCCCUCGGCAGACAAUACAAGCGCCUCGGAGCGAGUCCCCGAACCUGCCCUAGCCAAAAUGGCGGCCGAGAAAGAGCGGAAGUGACGGAGUGUGCCCCAGCACCCCACCCCCGCCUAGGGGAAAUUAUAUAAUCCCCACUGAGGGGGAGCUCUCGCGAGAACCAGGAGGAUUUGCCACUGACCCACUAGGAGGCGCCGCGGAUAAUGGCCGCACUGCGCUCUCGGGGCCCGUGUGCUCCGCGGGCGACUUCCUCUGGCCGCAGCGCCGGCGGCGGAGGCAGAAGCAGCGGGCCGCAGCACGCCCAGCACUCAGUCAGGUGGCCGUGCUGGGGAUCCCUGCGCGGGCCCAGCUGGGCCUGGACUACAUCUGGCGGGAGGGGUGUGCGGGGCAGCCGGGGCGGCUCCACGUGCUGGGAGGCGCGCGCGCUCAUGGGCUGGGCCACAGUGGGAAGGGGCAGGGAUACCUGCCAGUUGCGCCUGACGCCUCCUGCCUUUAAGGAGGUGUGAGGGCCUCGUGCUUCGCACACCCACUGGAGAUGAGACAACCCCAUGGACGUCUGGACCCGUCUGUGGGUGGGUGGGGCACUCGUGGACCGGGCUGAGUUUUACAGAAGGCCUGCUCUUGACAUUCUUCCAAGUCAAAGUGAUGGACUCUUCUCUUUGGCCUGAAGAAAACAAGUGGGAUCCCUAGUGUUUUGAAACCACCCAAUGGUGAAGCCUAAGGAUGCAAAGUGAUGUUGCCUCCGAGUUUCAUCAAGAACCUUAACACCUUGAAGUCCUAGAGCCAGUGACUUCUAGUGCUCGCAUAACAUGACAGCACGACAACAGGGAUGCAGUUUGUAACUGUAGGUCAAACCCAACCAAUACAUUGUCUCAACAUUUUAAAACCCAUCUUUUAUGUGCAUCUGAGAAUAUAUAAUAGGUUAAAAGUAUUUAAAAGUAAUAAAUAUCAAUUGUAAAGAUACCAA